rnacentral:snRNA from 1 species
GGAUGGUGAGGGCGAUCUGGCUGUGACAUCUGCCACCCCAUUGAUUGCCAGGGUUGAUCCGGCUGAUCUGGUUGGCUAAGCUAAGCGGGUGUCCCCUUCCUCCCUCACCACCCCAUGUGCUUCCCUCCCAAAGCUGGGCUCUCCAUCUAAGAGGAGCCUUUCCCAAACAGAGACAGAUGAAUCUUCAGUCGAGGGUAUAGCUGCGCUCUCCUGCUAGAAGCUCCAAACAAGUUCUCAAGGUCCAAUAACAACUCAACCCCUGGCAAAAUUUUUAAAGAUAAAGUUAAUUUACUGAAAUACAUCUUUUAUGCCAUAUAAUAGGUAUAGUAUAUUGAU